CUAUGCGCCUUGCCAGCCCGCUCAGGUGUGCCAGCAGCCGCGGUAAUACGGAGGAUGCGAGCGUUAUCCGGAUUUAUGGGUUUAAAGGGUGCGUAGCGGAAUAUCAAGUCAGCGGUAAAAAUUCGGGGCUCAACCCCGUCGUGCCGUUGAAACUGAUGUUCUUGAGUGGGCGAGAAGUAUGCGGAAUGCGUGGUGUAGCGGUGAAAUGCAUAGAUAUCACGCAGAACUCCGAUUGCGAAGGCAGCAUACCGGCGCCCAACUGACGCUGAAGCACGAAAGCGUGGGUAUCGAACAGG
rnacentral:rRNA from 1 species